rnacentral:tRNA from 1 species
UUCAUAGCUCAGUUGGUAGAGCAUGCAACUCUUAAUCUCAGGGUUGUGGGUUUGAGCCCCACAUUGGGCAAAA